rnacentral:misc_RNA from 1 species
GAUGAAGCACGUAGCGAAAUGCGAUAAGUAGUGUGAAUUGCAGAAUUCAGUGAAUCAUCGAAUCUUUGAACGCACAUUGCGCCCCUUGGUAUUCCAUGGGGCAUGCCUGUUCGAGCGUCAUUUGUACCUUCAAGCUCUGCUUGGUGUUGGGUGUUUGUCUCGCCUCUGCGUGUAGACUCGCCUCAAAACAAUUGGCAGCCGGCGUAUUGAUUUCGGAGCGCAGUACAUCUCGCGCUUUGCACUCAUAACGACGACGUCCAAAAGUACAUUUUUACACUCUUGACCUCGGAUCAGGUAGGGAUACCCGCUGAACUUAAGCAUAUCAAUAAGCGGAGGA